rnacentral:rRNA from 1 species
GAUGGGAGCUUGCUCCCUGAAGUCAGCGGCGGACGGGUGAGUAACACGUGGGUAACCUGCCUGUAAGACUGGGAUAACUCCGGGAAACCGGGGCUAAUACCGGAUAGUUCUUUUCCUCGCAUGAGGAAAAGUGGAAAGGUGGCUUCUGCUACCACUUACAGAUGGACCCCCGGCGCAUUAACUAGUUGGUGAGGUAACGGCUCACCAAGGGGACCAUGCGUAACCCAACUGGGAGGGUGAUCGGCCACACUGGGACUGAAACACGGCCCAAACUCCUACGGGAGGCAGCAAUAAGGAAUCUUCCGCAAUGGACGAAAGUCUGACGGAACAACGCCGCGUGAGUGAUGAAGGUUUUCGGAUCGUAAAGCUCUGUUGUUAGGGAAGAACAAGUGCCGUUCAAACAGGGCGGCACCUUGACGGUACCUAACCAGAAAGCCACGGCUAACUACGUGCCAGCAGCCGCGGUAAUACGUAGGUGGCAAGCGUUGUCCGGAAUUAUUGGGCGUAAAGCGCGCGCAGGCGGUCUCUUAAGUCUGAUGUGAAAGCCCACGGCUCAACCGUGGAGGGUCAUUGGAAACUGGGGGACUUGAGUGCAGAAGAGGAAAGUGGAAUUCCACGUGUAGCGGUGAAAUGCGUAGAUAUGUGGAGGAACACCAGUGGCGAAGGCGACUUUCUGGUCUGUAACUGACGCUGAGGCGCGAAAGCGUGGGGAGCAAACAGGAUUAGAUACCCUGGUAGUCCACGCCGUAAACGAUGAGUGCUAAGUGUUAGAGGGUUUCCGCCCUUUAGUGCUGCAGCUAACGCAUUAAGCACUCCGCCUGGGGAGUACGGUCGCAAGACUGAAACUCAAAGGAAUUGACGGGGGCCCGCACAAGCGGUGGAGCAUGUGGUUUAAUUC